rnacentral:rRNA from 1 species
UACGUAGGGGGCUAGCGUUGUCCGGAUUUAUUGGGCGUAAAGAGCGUGUAGGCGGCCAGGUAGGUCUGCUGUGAAAACUCGAGGCUCAACCUCGAGACGUCGGCGGAAACCAUCUGGCUAGAGUCCGGAAGAGGAGAGUGGAAUUCCUGGUGUAGCGGUGAAAUGCGUAGAUAUCAGGAGGAAUACCGGUGGUGCAGACGGCUCUCUGGACCGCAACUGACGCUGAGGCGCGAAAGCUAGGGGAGCAAACAGG